rnacentral:rRNA from 1 species
CGGCGAGUGAAGCGGCAACAGCUCAAAUUUGAAAUCUGGCCCUCGGGUCCGAGUUGUAAUUUGCAGAGGAUGCUUUUGACGCGGUGCCUUCCGAGUUCCCUGGAACGGGACGCCUUAGAGGGUGAGAGCCCCGUACGGUUGGACACCAAGCCUCUGUAAAGCUCCUUCGACGAGUCGAGUAGUUUGGGAAUGCUGCUCUAAAUGGGAGGUAAAUUUCUUCUAAAGCUAAAUAUUGGCCAGAGACCGAUAGCGCACAAGUAGAGUGAUCGAAAGAUGAAAAGCACUUUGAAAAGAGGGUUAAACAGCACGUGAAAUUGUUGAAAGGGAAGCGUUUGCGACCAGACCUUUUCCUGGCGGAUCAUCCGGUGGUUUCCACCGGUGCACUUCGCCAGGUCGAGGCCAGCAUCGGUUUCCGCAGGGGGAUAAAAGCUCAGGGAACGUAGCUCCUCCGGGAGUGUUAUAGCCCUCCGCACAAUACCCUUGGGGGGACCGAGGACCGCGCCUUCGGGCAAGGAUGCUGGCGUAAUGGUUGUCAACGACCCGUCUUGAAACACGGACCAAGGAGUCGAACAUUUGUGCGAGUGUUUGGGUGUCAAACCCUCACGCGUAAUGAAAGUGAACGGAGGUGAGAGCCCUUACGGGUGCAUCAUCGACCGAUCCUGAUGUCUUCGGAUGGAUUUGAGUAAGAGCAUAACUGUUCGGACCCGAAAGAUGGUGAACUAUGCGUGGAUAGGGUGAAGCCAGAGGAAACUCUGGUGGAGGCUCGCAGCGGUUCUGACGUGCAAAUCGAUCGUCAAAUCUGCGCAUGGGGGCGAAAG